GGGGUUAUAGUUUAAUGGAAAAAUCGCCGGGUGUCAACCGGGGGAUAUAAGUUCGAGCCUUGUUAAUCCCG
rnacentral:tRNA from 1 species